GAAGGAAAAAGAAUAGUCAUUUCGGCUCUAUAUAUCGUGUAAUACGCGGUAUCGAUUAAUCAGGGCCGAAUGUAUUAAUCCAUCCCACCGAGCUCUUCCUCGGUAGUUGGCUCGGUCUUCUAAUGUUGUGAUUUGUGCAAGAAUGUUGCCUAUAGAAGUCAUACUUUCAAUAAUUUUUGAACAAGUAAUAAUCAAAGAUAUCCAAGACUGAACGUUAUCGAAUACCACAGAAGUAUUAGAGAGAAGCAGAAUGGAGCGAUAUCUGGAUUCUAAUUACAUCCAAAGAAGAUACAAGGAUUUAAACUACGCUCAUCAUGAUAAUUAAACAUUCAACAUCCGAAAUGAAACAAACUUAUAUCUGCACUUCCUGUUUUUCCUUACAACUGAAGAUACGUCCUACUUGCAUAGAAGAAAUUUCCGACCAUCAACCAGAUUAGGAAAUGAAAACGUUUAUCUCUUUUCUUGUCUUAUAUUUAAAUGGUAAAUCAAUCAAUGCUGUAUUUACCGAACGGUUUUAUGAUGGCGACAAGAGUAUUUCCAUCGAUAAGUGGGACAUUAGAUCUCUUAAUUCUAGCUAUCCUAAAGGUACACCAUUAGUGCAUAUAAAUCAAGAACCCAUAUAUUUUUCAACUAGUGUAAUGAAGAAUAUUACAUAUGGAAAGCAAGAGACUUGAUGAAGGAGAGUUGAUGAAUAAUAAUCUAUGAAUAAAAAUUUCAAUGUUGUUUCAAAGAAUUUUGCCUUACAUGUCGUUUGUUAUUUAAUGUAUCAGAUCGUAAAACCGGCGGAGGAAGCUGGUUCUGCUCCCGAAUUUAUUGUAAAUGUUCCAAGUGAUAGGAAACCCAAGUUGGUGAGAGAGGCACUUAAUUAACUGGUGUAUGGAAACAACUUGCUGCUAUUGCGAGGGCGUUACUCUGGCAACCAUUUACUUUAAUAUUGGAUUUUAAUAAACGAGAUAUGAAGAAAUCAGAUAUACGUAACUAGUCACGUAUCUUCUCCAAUCUUCCAUAGGAAUUUCAUGUUUUAUAAUAUAGCAGAUUGGGUUGUGAAAACAGAAGAGUGGUUCUAGAAGCAGUUGAAAAAUGACAAGAAGCAGAAAGAAAAAUACAUAUUCAAAUAUCUUAUGCGCCGACAAUGAAUUACAUGGUAUCGGUCGGCGGGAUUGUAUUAUCUAAAAUCAUCAACGAUUUUUAAAUUAUUUUUAAUACUUGUUGGUGGUACUAUGAUUUAUCGUUUUCUCUUUAAAUAUACUCCUUGGCUCAAUGCGUUCAUUAUAUGAUUAAGAAUAUCUAGGAAGAGGGAAAAGAUUUGUGCUUGACGACGAAGCUUUGAAAGACCAAUGUGGCGCGGUUUUAUAAAGCUUGGUACGGUAGUACGAGAAAAUAGGAUUUUAUCAAAGGAUCCGAAUGUGAACGGCUUUAGCGGUGAACGGCAUAAAUAUUGAAAUUUGAUCGAAGUAAUUUCUGCGUAGCGCGAAUUAACCAAUUGAUAAGUUUUGAUAGGGAUUUAGUGAUAAUGGAUGUAUGUAGUACUUAUCGUGAAGUACAUUCGUUUUGAACUCUU